rnacentral:lncRNA from 1 species
AAUGGACCAAAAUCUGGGCAAAUUUGGGAUUAGGGUUCUUAUCAAAAAAUCGUGAUUUCUCAAUUCUUCCCCAAAGUGCCAAUUAAGCAUACCAUUGUAAACAUCAAACACCAUACAACAACAAUCCAAACCCUAAUUUCAUCAAAACAACAACAUGCUCAUGAAUCGAACUAAAACAAAUCUUAACACCAAACUUCAAAAUGAUAUAACUUGCAAAAUAUCAAACCAUUUGCAAACAUUUAGAGCUCAG